CGGAUACUGGCAAGCUAGAGUGCAGAAGAGGCAAGGGGAAUUCCCAGUGUAGCGGUGAAAUGCGUAGAUAUUGGGAGGAACACCGGUGGCGUAAGCGCCUUGCUGGGCUGUUACUGACGCUGAGGAACGAAAGCCGGGGGAGCGAAUGGGAUUAGAUACCCCAGUAGUCCCGGCCCGUAAACGAUGGAUACUAGGUGUUGCGGGUAUCGACCCCUGCAGUGCCGCAGCUAACGCGAUAAGUAUCCCGCCUGGGGAGUACGCACGCAAGUGUGAAACUCAAAGGAAUUGACGGGGGCCCGCACAAGCGGUGGAACAUGUGGUUUAAUUCGAUGCAACGCGAAGAACCUUACCAGGGCUUGACAUCUACAGAAUCUUGCGGAAACGUGAGAGUGCCUUUCGGGGAACUGUAAGACAGGUGGUGCACGGUUGUCGUCAGCUCGUGUCGUGAGAUGUUGGGUUAAGUCCCGCAACGAGCGCAAC
rnacentral:rRNA from 1 species